CUCUUCCCCGUGUGUAGUCAUCCCCUCUCCAAGAUUUUUGACACCAUACUCUUCGCGGCUAUCAGCAAUUUCCUUGAGCCUCAUCCGUAAGGAUUCAAUCUCUUUACCUAUCUUGUAGCGGUUCACAAUUUUCAAGGGAUAAUACGUCAAUUUGGUGACGAGUCCCUUGUUCUUUGUGAAGAACUCAACUUUGUUGGCAAAUAUCUCAAUAAUAUCCUCCGCAUCGUAGGCCGCAGCUCUGAUUUCAGAAACCCAGUUGCGAAUCCUCUCAUCUUCAUCUUGCCUCUGAUCAGCAUCUUUCAGGAAACAUCGCAUCCGGACCAGAUCAUUUUUGAGGCUAUCAACUUGUCUUCGAACGCCUUUCAGGAAAACAAUAUUUUGAAUCAGCAGAUCGCCGGUUCUCUCAAUAACAAGAGAGAUAACAGGGUCAGCCAUCUUGGUAAAGUGAGCUUUGCUUUCAACAACUAGUAAAGGAGGAGAAGCCUUUGCCUGUUAGGUGCAGCUGCAAAACUUCUAAUCUCUGUUGUUUUUAACUGAUCUCAGAAGAGAUGCUCGAUUCAGUCCAAAAGAGAGCAGUUCGAUUCACAUGGUAGGACCGUCUGGUAGCCCUCCGAAAAAGAAAAAAUGGUGCAGCUGGUGACGUGUUUUGGGACGGUGGAAUGGAUGAAGAAUAAUUAAAUAAGGAAAUCAAACGAGCCCGGUUUGUUUGGAUUGAGCAUUAUUUUUCUAAUUUUAUUUAUUUAAAUUAUUAUUAUAAUUUUUAAUAUAUUUUUUAUCUUUUUAAUUAUUUUUUUAUCUCAUAUAUAUCACAUCACAAAAAAUACUAUAGUAAAAAUAUCUCAAAUAACUUAUAAUCCAAACAACGAAGGAUGAAGAAUGAACUAAGUAAUGUGUAAUAGUUAAAUUUCCCAUGUACUAAUUCACAUUUAUAAGUUUUUUCUUUUUUUUUUUCAAAACUAAACUUACAAAUAAUUAGAAAAGAAGAGUUUUUUUUUUUUAAGAAACAUUUAAGUGGAUUCAAGCUGCGGUUAACCACCAAGCCCUUGGGCUGGUGGCGGGCUUGGUGGGGUGGGAGGCAAGGGUUCAAACCUUGCCUCCCACCAAUAUGCCAUUCUUGUGGCUUGCUUCAAAUCCAGACGGGUGCGUCGUGCACCCGUUUGGUCCGGUGGUGGUUCUGUCCCUAUCGGUCCCCAUAGGUUCAGUUAAGCCUCCCCGUAGAUAGAAUAGGAGUAGGAGUAGGAUUGACAAUUGACAAAAAAAAAGAUUCAAGCUGCGGUUGAGGUGGAUAUUUGAAUGUAACACUUUUAGAUGCAUAGAAAGCGGACGGCCUAAGUGAACGUCAAACGGUGGUAUAGUGGAUAUUUUGCUGUUUUUGUGUGCAUAAUUAGUUUUUAAAAUUUAAAGUUGUCUAAAUUUUUAAUUCAAUAACACCUUACUACCUGAAUUUUUAAGUGCAAAAAAACUUCCAAAGAGAACAAAUUUUAAAAGAAGAAGACUCCCAAAAGCAGAAAAGAAAAAAAAAAAAAACCCCCUCCUUCAACUUGUGUGGUCCACGAAAUUAUCUUCAAGAAACAAGUUUUGCUUUAUGAGGAGUGUUUGGAUAGGAUAUUAUUUGAAAUAUUAUUUGGAAUAUUUACUGUAGUAUUUUUUGUGAUGUGAUGUAUGUGAGAUAAAAAAUUGAUUGGGAAUAUAAAAAGGUGAAUUGAGAAAUGUGUUUAUGAUGCAAGCGAAAUAUUAUUUGGAAUAAUAUGUAUAUCCAAACAAAUAUUCAAUAACUGUAUAUUAUUGAAAAUUUUUAACUUUCAGCACCAUUAUUCCUAAAUCUGUAUAUUCAUGAAUGCGCAAUAGUUAUAUAGUCGAUGAAUUGGGAUUUCGCUAUAUUGAAUUCUGCAAUUUCAAAUAAAUUUGGACUUUUAAAUUGCAAUAAGUAGUAUAGUAGCCUAGUAGGUUCCAUUCAACAAAAUUUAAUUGAAAUUUGGUUAGUUUAGUUCAAUAAUAACUCCGUUUUUUUUCAAACUAUUCGGUUUCGCUUUUCGUUCUUUUUUCCUUUUAAAUUGGUGGAGGCUACAAUCCAUUACAUCCAAAUUGGACGGAAUGGAUACUGGUUUUCCGUUUUUGGCAUGCUUCGGGUUUUGGGUUGCAUUCUUCUCAAAAUCACAGCCUUGAUUGCUGUGUUUGUGUGUCGGCAGAAAUUUAUUGGCUGGAAGAUAGGUACGCGCACAUGCCCAAUUAGAUUAGACAGAUCUCAGGAAAAGAUCUCAGUUAACGGCUAAACGAGAAGAGUACAAAAAAUUCAUGUCCAAUGACAGGAGAGGGCUCCUGUGAACCUGAGCCCAUGUUAAAGAAUCCGCGUCUAACUAAUGUGGGAGGGAUAUUGGCUGGUAUUAAGUGUCCAUGGUUUUGGAUGCCAUGGUAUAGUCUUAGUAUGAACAGGCAACAAUCAAUCAAUUUUCCACAACCAAGACGCUUUUAUGGGUCCACGGUUUUGGAUACUAUAAUAAUAAAGUCUAGGUCUUUGGUACGGCGGACGCCUCUACAGUCUAGUAUCAAAAUUGUACAAGUGGUGUGGAAAUUAAUAAAACAUAGAAGAAGAAGUCAGAUUAAAACUUGUCAAUUAAUACAGCCAAAAGCCCAGCAAUAGGCCAUCGGGUGAAAAGUAAAGAAGAGUAUUAGUUGUUCAAUGUAAUAUGAAAAUAUUAUAACAUCAAUUUGUUAAACAAGAAUAAAAUAGUCAUUUAUAAAAUCAAUUUGUUAAAUAUAUUUAUUUAUAACUUCGAGUUUCGAAUGUUUUAUGCUACCUAAGAAGUUUUAGAAAAUAACAUCAACUUUAACUUGAUAGUCAUUUAUAGUCAUGGUCAAAUUAGUUUACAAAUUAGAUUAUAUUAUAGGGAAAUAAUAGAGUCGAUGUAAUUGUUAGAAUAAAAUGUCAUUAUUAUAAUAGAAGUAAAUAACCCCAAGUUAUCAUAUGAUCUAAUGGACCAAAUGAACUCUUCAUGAAAUGAGCGGUGGUUACUUAUCUUCGGAUGAGUAAUCUUGUUGUCAAGUGUUUGGUUAGUUUUACAUUAGAUGUUUAGUUUAACAGAAAAACCAAGUUCCUUGUGUUUCGUCGGGAAUAGGAUGAGAUGUAUUUACUUACUUAUAGACCAAAAUUGAUUUUUGGCAAAUUUACUAUUAAUUCUAUCAAUAAUAGGGGUAAAUUAGUCCAAAAAAAUAAAGUUUAAUUGUCAUGGCCAAUGUAUUCCAACACAUAAAUUUUGUAUUCAUAGGAGCGGGUUUUAGAGAAAACAUUAUUUAUUUCUUUAACAUGGGUAAAUGCAUAAAAAGUUUCGUUUUGUUAGUUGUAUGACCACAUCAGUCCAAAACCAUGGUAUAUGAUUAACAUAGAUUAGUCCAAAACUUAAUUUUUUUCAUUCAUUUUUUGAUUACAUAUAUUAAUAUUAAAUUUACAAAAAACAUGUCGAUUUAAUGAAAAGGUUAUCAUUUAUAGGAUUGUAAAAUGAGUUGAAUCGACUCAAUUUUCUCGACUUCCAACACGAUCCUGAGCUCCACAAGUUUUCAUUGUAAAACUAGAGUUCAACAUUGAUCUCGAGUUCGAGCAUAGUUGAGCUUGAGAGAAAUAAGGGAAAAAUCCACUUUUUAUCCUCAAACUUUGUGACGAAGACAUAUUUGGUCCCCAAAUUUUUCGUCAGAACACAUUGAGCACAUGAUUAACGAUUUUUUGCCACAUUUAGUCAAAAAAAGGGAAUUUACUCAAUUUGGACGGUGAAGACCACGUGGCUGUUAACAAAUGUCCAAAUAUCAAUUUGUAGCCAACACAAGUCAGACACAAGUCUACACUUGACUCUCUCUCUAACGCACUGCUUUUCUUCUCCAAGUUUUCCACUUUCCCACCGAGUUAAAGAAGUGAAAAGCUGCUUGAGAUUAGCUGGAGUGAUUCAACAAAGUUUUUCCAAUCCAGUAUAUUUAAUAUAAAUUAAAUGAUUCAGAGUAAAAUGCUCAUAAAUAGUUAUUACUUUGUUCGUGUAAUAGAGGAAACCCAUAAAGAGCUGAUAUGUUAUCGGCAAUUUCUUUUUUUUUUUACUUUCACGUAUUUAAUUUAUGUUAAAUACAAAACCUACUAGUUUUCCUUUCGUAAAAAUAUUAGUAUAUCACUUUUUAAAUUUUACUUGCAAACAUUUAUGUAUUUAACAUAAAUUAUAUGAUUCAGAGUAAAAUGCCUAUAAAUAACUAGUACUUUAUUCAUAUAAUAGAAGAAACUCGUAAAGAACUAGUAAAAAGUGGGUAAUUUCUUUUUUUACUUUCACGUAUUUAAUUUAUAUUAAAUAUAAAAUCUACUAGUUUUCCUUUCGUAAUAACAUUAGUGUAACACUUUUUGAAUUUCACUUAUCAAUAUUUAUGUAUUUAAUAUAAAUUAAAUGAUUCAAAGUAAAAUGCUCAUAAAUAACUAGUACUUUAUUCAUAUAAUGGAAGAAACUCGUAAAAAACUGGUAUGUUAUGGACAAUUUUUUUACUUUCAAAUACUUCAUUUAUAUUCAAUACAAAACAUGCUAGUUUUCCUUUCGUAAAAAUAUUUGUGUAACUGCUUUUGAAUUUUAUUUGCAAAUAUUUAUGUAUUUAACAUAAAUUAAAUGAUUCAGAAUAAAAUACCCAUAAAAACUUGGUACUUAGUUCAUGUAAUAGAGAAAAGUCAUAAAGAGUUGGUAUUUUAUGGGAUAUUUUAAAAAAAAAAUAUUUAAUUUAUGUUAAAUAGAUAACCUACUAGUUUUUUUUCAUAAGAAAUUACUGUAACACUUUUUGAAUUUUACUUAAAAAUAUUUAUAUAUUUAUUAUAAAUUGAAUAUUUGAGAGUAAAAUGUCCACAAAAGCUAGUAUUUUGAAUAGGUAAUGCCCAUUAAGUAAGAACUUAAAAUAAUACCAAAAUGGACAACUUGUUCAAGGAAUUGUGUAAUGUCCAUAAAAAGUUGACUUGUGUUGGUUAUAAAAUGAUAUUUGAACAUUUGUUAACAGCCACGUGGUCUUCACCAUCCAAAUUGAGUAAAUUUCCGUUUUUUGACUAAAUGUGGCAAAAAAUCGUUAAUUCAUGUACUCAAUGUGUUCUGACGAAAAGUUUGGGGACUAAAUGUGUCUUGGUCACAAAGUUUGAGGAUGAAAAGUGAAUUUUUUCCGAGAAAUAAUAACAAGUAGUUAUUAUUUUAUUUAUUAAAAUAAGAAUAAAAUAGUCAUUUACAACAUAAAUGCAUAGGCAUAUAUGAAAUAAGAAUAAAAUAAUCAUUUAUAACGUAAAUUUGUUAAAAUAUAUUCAUUUAUAACUUCAAGCUUCGAAUGUUUUAUGUCAUCUAGGAAGUUUUAGAAAAUAAUAUCAACUUUAGGUUGAUAGUCAUUUCUAGACAUGGCGAAAUUAGUUCAUAAAUUAGACUAUUUUAUAGGGAAAUAGUAGACUUGAUGCACUUGUUAGAAUAAAAUGUCAUUAGAGUAGUAGAAGUAAAUAACUCCAAAUUAUCAUAUGAUCCGAUGGACCAAACGAACUCUUCAUGAAAUGAGAGAUGGUUACUUAUCUUUGGACGAGUAAUCUUGUUGUCAAACGUUUGGUUGAUUUUAUUUUAAAUGUUUAGUUUAACAAAAAAAACUAGGUUCCUUGUGUUUCGUCACGAAUAGAAUGAGAUGAACUUACUUACUUAUAGACCAAAAUUGCUUUUUGCAGAUCUACUUUUAAUUCUAUCAAUAAUAGAGGUAAAUUAGUCCAAAAAAGUAAAUUUUAAUUGUCAUGGCCAAAGUAUUCCAACACAUAAAUUUUGUAUUCACAGGAGUGGGUUUUAGAGAAAAUGUUAUUUAUUUCUUUAACAUGGGUAAAUAGAUAAAAAGUUUAGUUUUGCUAAUUGUAUGACCAUAUCGAUCCAAAAUCAUGGUAUAUGAUUAACUUAGAUUAGUCCAAAACUUAAUUUUUUUCCAAUCACUUUUUGAUUACAUAUAUUAAUAUUAAAUUUACAAAAAACAUAUAGAUUUAAUGAAAAAGGUUAUCAUUUAUAGGAUUGCAAAAUGAGUUGAAUUGACUCAAUUUUCUUGACUUCUAGCACGUGGCAUCAUACAAAAAAUCAUAAGAUGAAAUUGUUUUCCCUUCUUUUAUUUCUUUUUCUCUUUCUUCUCCCUUUCAUCCUUCCCAAUAGAAAUUUCAUUUCAACAAAAAUUUUUGUUUUGAGUUUGUAAUUGCAUAUUUCUAGGUGAAGGUUUAAAAGGUAUCAAAAACUAAUUUUGAUUUUUUGUAUGAUGCCACGUGUCACAAAUUUCAAUUGACGAUUAUUAAUCAGGUCAUAAUUUCAUCUUAAGAUAUUUUCUUGAGAAUAAAAUGAGAAACUAAAAAGGAAAGAGGAAAACCCAAAAUUAAAAGAAUUGAAAGGCUAAAAAAAUUGUAUUUUAGGAAAGCGAUUUGAAUAUUUUUUUAAUCAUUUAAGGAGAAGAUAGAUCUCUGCAAUUUCUCUUUUUUAAUUUCAAUCAUUAAGGUGAAGAUUUUUGUGGGAAAGAGGAAGAAUUAAAUAAAGAAGAAAGAGAAAAAGAAAUAAAAGAAAGGAAAACAAGGUAAAUGAAAAGUCAAAAUAAUGCAAGGGCAAUUUUGUCCUAAAGGGGGUUAAGUGAGCAAAAUUAAAGGUUAGGGGGUAAACUGAGAAAUGGGGUAUUCUUUAAGGGGAUAAAAUGUGAUUAACCUUAAAAAUAAUAAAAAAUUUAAAGUGGUUCUUUUCAUCUUUCGUAUCAAAAAAAAGUCAAAAUAUUAAUCUCUUUCUUCUUCGCAAUCUUAUUAAUAUUAAAAUAAAUAGAAAGUUUGGGAGAGGGAGGGAGAGAGGGAGAGGGAGAUAGAGAGAGAGAGAGCUCAAUUCUUUUUUUUUUAUAAAUACAAAUAAGAAAGAAUUAAAUACUUUUAUUAUUUUAAAAUUAUUUUACUUUACUGUUUACCACCAGAUUUUAAUCCUAAUCCCAACAAGCUUAAAUUAAUACGAUAAUGUUAGACCUUUCUUUAUUAUUUUCUUUGUAAAAUCUAAUUUUCUAUCUCCUUUUUUUCCUAUCUUUUUUUCUUUUCCUAAUAUUAAUAAGUAUGAAAAAAGAAAUUUGAGAAAAUCCUUUUAUUUUUAUAUUUUUGGAUCUCUUAAAGUGGAAAACAGAAGAAUAAUUAUUCCAACUUUUUUAUUUUUAAUUAUAUAUAUAAAAGGGUCAAUAUAUUUAAAAAUUUGACCAUACUAAUUAGAUUAAUGACGAAGUAAAAUGCCUAGAAAAUAAUGUUAGGAAUUAAAGCGAUUAUAUCACUAUAAUUUAAAGGAAUAAAGUUAUAAUAAUAAUAUAGUAAUGCUAUAGAAUAAAAGGAUAUUUUUGUCCAAAUUUUCUUAAUAUGUUAAGUUAAAUUACUUAUGGAGGUGAAGUGACGAAAAGAUAACACUAGGGGAUAAACUGAUAGUAGUAAUAUAGUUGAAGGGGAUAAAGUGAUAAUAACCCUAAGCAAAAUUACACUUGUUUUCUUCAAGAAGCAAAUACAUUUCCUUUAAGGCGAUACUGUUAUAGAAUCAACUAACUAGUAAUCACGAAGAAUUAAAAGGGAGUGUCAAACUUAUAAACUGCAUACAAUCUUGGAUCAUCCAUUACACACGACAUUCGCACUAAUUUUUUGUAAAAAUGGAAUUACUACGAAACACAUUAAAAAAAUAACAUUAGACGUAAGAAUUAUUAUAAAUGUCUAUCAUAAUAAAUAGACUACAAUUGUGCCCGUAUUCAAAAAUUCCCCCCCUGUAAUUUUUUUCCCUUCAAUGUUUAUCCCAAACAACUUAAGUGAAUAGCUUGUUAUUUGAUUUUUACAUGGUUAAGUCUUUUUUUAACAUCUUAUAUGCAUAGUGAGAAGUAUUUAGGAAGCAAUCAAUCCUCAUUUUCAGAUGGACCAACACUUUAUAUGGGAUGAAUUCCUUGAUUUGUUUACUAACUUGCAACUUCUCUAAAUCGCUGCAUUGCCUGAUUCUCAGGCACUGGAGCUGCGGUAAUGCACCUUUCUCCACACUUAUUGGGUCAUCCGUGAGAUCUCUAAAUUUCAAAGACAAACGAGAAAGAUUUGGAGGGAAAUCAGGAGGCAGCAUUCUCAGAAACAGCCCGGAUCGCUUAAGCUGUGUUACAUGAUGCAGCCUAGAAAGUCCCACCACCUAGAGACUGUGGCCCUCCCCAUUGAGUCUGAAGAUGUAAGGUCCUCAGGCUUCCAACCUUAGAGUUUAUGAAGGUUACAUGAACUAGUAACUAGAACAAGAAAAAUAUAGUAAUUCAUUUAAAUGCAUUUUUGAAUAAGGUUAGUUGCUGGUUUAUUUUAAUUCUGCACUUAGUGAACUGUUUUUUUUUUUUUUUUAAAUUUAAUUCUUCUUGUAUUAAUAUGAUACAUGCAAUGUAAAUUGAUAGAGAGAAUUCGUAUGAGGUGUAGGUGUAGGCAGUGUUAGUUACCCAAAAUAUCAUUAAUAACAAAAGAGUAAUGAGUUUGUUUGGACAAAGAAAAUUUAGAAAAAAAAAUUUUGCCUCACAAAUCCCAAUCACAUUUUUAUCUUCUCAACCACCUUUUUAUCUCACAUACAUCACAUCACAAAAGUGCUACAGUAAAUAUCUCAAAUAAAUCAUCCAAAUAAACUCUUAUCCAAACAAACUCAUUCUUUUGUUUGGACAGCUCCCAAUUUUCCCAAUUUUAUUUACUUACAUCAUCUUUACAAUUUCCAACACACCUUUUUAUCUUUCCAAUACCUUUUUAUCUCACAUACAUCAUAUCACAAAAAGUGCUACAGUAAAAAUAUCCCAAAUAAUCCCAAAUAACUUACAAUCCAAACAGAUUUAUAGUGGGAUAAUUAAAAAAGCAAGCAUUGAAGUGAGAUUUCAAAUUUUAAAAAAAAUGGACUUAAAAAGCUUGUCUGAAUUAUAUGACGAAAAAUAAAGAGUGAAAUAGCGGCAAAGCAAAGUAUGUUGAAUUGGGGGAAACAAAAGUUAUGUUGAAUCGGAAACGUUCAUUUUAUUUAUAUAUUUUGAUAAAAACUUGAAAUAAUUUUAUUAAUCACUACCCGACAUAGCUUGCUUUUUACGCAUGAAUUACAACUGCUACCACCUUUCCUUCGGCAAGUCAAAAUAUUCUGAGGUUAGGGACGCGGGAUACCAUGUCCGCAUCAAGCCCUCUGAUGAAAAUUUUCGGCAUUUUGACAAGCUCAAGCGUAUCAAGAGUAGAUAUGUGCUUCAGCUCUUCCGGCAACUUUUCUAAUCGGAAGCACAUCCUGAAUCUCAGGCACCGGAGCUGUGGCAAUGCACCUUUCUCCACCUCUAUUUCCUUCAAACCAUGUUGGAAGUUGAGCUCAAGGAAUUUCAAUUGGUGAAACCCAUGCCUAGAAAUGACUAGCUGCGGCCCCUUAUACGCAUCUUUCAUUUUGAGGAACGACAGCUGUCCCAACUUCUCUAGCGUUGGCAUUGGGUCAUCCGUGAGACUUGUGAAUUUCAAAGACAAGCGAGAGAGAUUUGGAGGGAAAUCAGGAGGCAGCAUUCUCAAAUUGAAUAGCUUAAGCUUUGUUACACGAUGGAGCUUAGAAAGUCCAGCUAGACAUUGUGGCUGCCCGCUUCCUCGAGGACAAUAAAGAUGUAGCCUCUUUAGGCAUCCAAUCUCAGAUAAAUGCAUGCAGAGUUUGUCUAUCUCUGACCCGGCAUCCACUACAAUCCCCAGUUUCUGAAGACUUGUCAAAGUUAUCAUGUUAUUGUGCAUAAUGUCAUCAAAGCGUAUGCCUGACAGAGUCUGGAGAUUCCUCAAUCCUUCAAUCUUAAGAGGCACAUCACAUUUCAUACCAAACGCAUAUAGAUGCCGUAAACUUUCAAGCUUCCAAAUGAAAUUUGAAACUCUCACUGGGGAAUAUAGAGACGUUGUCCGUAUGUCAAGAGUUUGUAGGUUUCGCAAACAACCGACGGAAGGGGGGAGCCUUCCAAUGAGUGUGCAUCUUAAAUUGAGGUACCUUAACAGCCUGACUUCACCAAUUUCUUUUGGCAAAUCAUAACCCAUCCUAACAUUCUCAAGGUCCAGUAUCCUAAGCUUUCUGAAACUUUUGAAGCUAAGAUUAAUGCUUUUCACGCAAUCGUGGACGUUGAAACAAAGUAGAGACCGGAGAGGAGGGGUCGAAGACCCAAAAUAAUUUUCAUCCAGAGGGAGAACAUGAACAGCAAGGUACCUGGAUUUGGCUGAUAUUUCAUCAUCUCUGGUGUCAUGGAUCUGAAAGAAAUUUUCAUCCUCUGCCUUUCUGAUUGCAAGCUCUCGCAGUAAAUCAUGGACUCUGCAACUUUUAAUCCUCUCAUCAACAGUCAUUUCCGCCACUUGGACCAUAUUUCUGCUACAAAGUCGUUCCACAUCAUCAUAUGCUGCAGUUUCCUCCAAAUUUUUUGUAUCUCUUUUUUGCAUUAUUCCCUCUGCAACCCACAUAUGGAUCAACUUGCGCACAGAAAUCACGGAGUCUUCGGGAAACAAACCCAAAUACAGAAAGCAAAAUUUCAGAUUGGCAGGAAGGUCUGCAUAACUUAAUUCCAGAAUUGCUGAUACCCCACUCUGGCUCCUUGAUAGGUACGUGCUGAAAUUGUUGAGAAUUUUCUCCCAUUCACUCUUCAACUUUUUCUUUGCCAGUAGCAGGCCACCAAUAACCGUGAUGGCCAGCGGCAGACCAUCACAUCUUCUGGUAAUCUCUCUGCCUACUUCUUCCAAAUCGGGAGGACACCCAGCAUUAUCCCCUAAGGCCUUUCUGAGGAACAACUGCCAGCUGUCUUUCGGCCCCAAAGUUUUCAACUCAUACGGGUGUCUAUAAGCAUCUGCGUGUUGGGCAACAUCCCGAUUGCGACUUGUAAGUAGCACUCUACUUGAUGUGCCAACGUCAGGAAAGGCCCUCCUGGCAAGACAAUCCCACGCUUCUUCCUUCCACACAUCAUCAAGUACCACAAGAUAACACUUGUCUUGUAGAUCUUGAUAGAGCCUUCGUUCCAAGUCUUCCUCUUCCAUAUUUUCCAACAUUUCAAGUAGCUUGUUAUCCAUCGUAUUUAAUUCCUUUAUGAUUGAUCUCAGCAUCUUUUUGUGAUCGUAGAUUGAAGAGACGCAGACCCAAGCACGACAGUUGAAUCUUUCCCUGACAUCAGCAUGGUUAUAAACUUUUUUGGCUAGAGUUGUCUUACCAGCACCUCCCAUGCCGACAAUUGAAACCACACGGCGGUUAAUGUCCUCUUUCAAGAGUUCUGCCACCAGGGAUUUUGUUAUCUCCCCAAAGCCCACUAUAUCCUUGUCCUCGAUGAGAGGAGAGGAUCGCCGGAUCCGUUGAAGCUCUUCUUCAUGUGUAGUCAUCUCCUCUCCAAGAUUUUUGAUACCAUACUCUUCGCGGCUAGCAGCAAUCUCCUUGAGCCUCAUCCGUAGGGAUUCAAUCUCUUUACCUAUCUUGUAGAGGUUCACAAUUUUCAAGGGAUAAUACGUCAAUUUGGUGACGAGUCCCUUGUCCUUUGUGAAGAACUCAACUUUGCUGGCAAAGAUCUCAAUGAUAUCCUCCGCAUCGUAGGCCGCAG
rnacentral:lncRNA from 1 species